rnacentral:rRNA from 1 species
CCUACGGGAGGCAGCAGUGGGGAAUCUUGCGCAAUGGGCGAAAGCCUGACGCAGCCAUGCCGCGUGAAUGAUGAAGGUCUUAGGAUUGUAAAAUUCUUUUCACCGGGGACGAUAAUGACGGUACCCGGAGAAGAAGCCCCGGCUAACUUCGUGCCAGCAGCCGCGGUAAUACGAAGGGGGCUAGCGUUGCUCGGAAUUACUGGGCGUAAAGGGAGCGUAGGCGGAUAGUUUAGUCAGAGGUGAAAGCCCAGGGCUCAACCUUGGAAUUGCCUUUGAUACUGGCUAUCUUGAGUAUGGGAGAGGUUAGCGGAACUCCGAGUGUAGAGGUGAAAUUCGUAGAUAUUCGGAAGAACACCAGUGGCGAAGGCGGCUAACUGGCCCAUUACUGACGCUGAGGCUCGAAAGCGUGGGGAGCAAACAGGAUUAGAUACCCUGGUAGUCCACGCCGUAAACGAUGAGUGCUAGUUGUCGGCAUGCAUGCAUGUCGGUGACGCGAGCUACGACAUAAGACACUCCGCCGUCGGGAGGUACGGUCGCGAGAGUAAACGUAACUAAUAGUUAAGUUAGUACGGCGUUGAGACGNGCCGACGGACGACGACGAGGGAGGAGG